AUUGAACGCUGGCGGCAGGCCUAACACAUGCAAGUCGAACGAGUGGCGGACGGGUGAGUAAUGUCUGGGAAACUGCCUGCUGGAGGGGGAUAACUACUGGACACGGUAGCUAAUACCGCAUCCCAUCGGAUGUACCCAGAUGGGAUUAGCUAGUUGGUGGGGUAACGGCUCACCAAGGCGACGGUCCCUAGCUGGUCUGAGAGGAUGACCCGCCACACUGUAACUGAGACACGGUCCCGACUCCGACGGGAGGCAGCAGUGGGGAAUAUUGCACAAUGGGCGCAAGCCUGAUGCAGCCAUGCCGCGUGUAUGAAGAAGGCCUUCGGGUUGUAAAGUACUUUCAGCGGGGAGGCGUUACCCGUAGAAGAAGCACCGGCUAACUCCGUGCCAGCAGCCGCGGUAAUUC
rnacentral:rRNA from 1 species